UAAGACCGCCCUGUGUUUACAAAAUACUCGACAUCUUUCAGGGAUUUCGCUCUCGCUUCAAGCUGUAAUCCUUGCGUCCCGCUGUGAAUUGGCGUCUCCUUCCCUUCGACUAAGUGAGUCACGGUGUUUUUCCAAAUGUCAGAGUGGAAAAGCAGUUCCAAGAACAAAAAAAACACAGAUCUACCAAUCGCUAUUCAACACUGGCACUUGGAGCAGAGCUUCCAUGUAUGUGCUCACGCCGAAUAACAGUUUCCAACCUCGUCAAACGCAACCAAAGGCUUCUUCCCUGUAGUCCAAGGCCAGAUGAGGUAAAAGUGUUGACCAUUAGAGUAGUGCUCCAUUCGUAGGAGAAUUAAUGCUCUAAUAGACUCUCCACCACUUAAAGAAUCCAUUCCCCUCUCUUGAUGACAGCAGCAGCACUCCUGGAAGUAGCAAAGCAUUCAUUCUGGUGUCAUGAGGAGAAAUCGUGUGUGAUUUCUCUCUAACUUAUAUUACAAUUGUCACUUAAGGUAAUGCACGCCCCGGUGGACCUGUGAUUAAUUAAUCUGCUUUUGAUUUGCUAAUGACAGUUCAAGUCAAACACAAGGUUAGUGAAGGCUGAGUCAAUCCUUUUAAACUGCAGCUGCGGAGAGAACUACGGCUUAUAGAGGUGCAGCGCCCUCUUAAAUGAGGUACAGUGCAGUGCCCAUCCAUCCAUCUCCUGGGCUGGACCUCUACUGUCAGAAGCAACACCCAAGAUGAAGAUGAGUGUGAGAGAGAUGGGCUUCUGAGCGUCUUCCAUCCCGAUCCAUCAAUCCUAGUGGACUUCUCUAAUAACCUUUACAGAGAACUGAUGUCUGAUGGCAAAGAGGAAGGACAGGAGGAAACACAGAUCUCCUCCAGCGGGCUUGAUCUUUUUCCUCUUCCUGCUGUGUUUUUAACAGGAUGACUCGAAUAAAAGAUCGGCGACACAGUGGCCCGCGUGUUCAGACGUUCUUAAGGCCGCGGGCUUGUUUUUAAUUUGAGCUAAUAUUCGGGGUGAAGCCUGAGGGUUUGGGUGCUGUGAGCUCUCUUUUCCUUUUUGGAUAUUAUUAAAACUGGAGGUAGGGAAUCACAUCAAGGGUGCUGAGGCCCAAGCGCUGGAAUAUAUUCGCAGAACAUAAACACAAUGAGUGAAUAGAGGCUCAGACAAUAAAAGAG
ensembl:lncRNA